rnacentral:rRNA from 1 species
CUUACUACUUGGAUAACCGUGGUAAUUCUAGAGCUAAUACAUGCUAAAAACCCCGACUUCGGAAGGGGUGUAUUUAUUAGAUACAAAACCAAUGCCCUUCGGGGCUCUUUGGUGAUUCAUGAUAACUAUACGAAUCGCACGGCCUUGCGCCGGCGAUGGUUCAUUCAAAUUUCUUCCCUAUCAACUUUCGAUGUUUGGGUAUUGGCCAAACAUGGUUGCAACGGGUAACGGAGGGUUAGGGCUCGACCCCGGAGAAGGAGCCUGAGAAACGGCUACUACAUCCAAGGAAGGCAGCAGGCGCGCAAAUUACCCAAUCCCGACUCGGGGAGGUAGUGACAAUAAAUACUGAUACAGGGCCCUUUCGGGCCUUGUAAUUGGAAUGAGUACAAUUUAAAUCCCUUAACGAGGAACAAUUGGAGGGCAAGUCUGGUGCCAGCAGCCGCGGUAAUUCCAGCUCCAAUAGCGUAUAUUAAAGUUGUUGUGGUUAAAAAGCUCGUAGUUGAACCUUGGGCCUGGCUGGCCGGUCCGCCUCACCGCGUGCACUGGUCCGGCCGGGCCUUUCCCUCUGUGGAACCCCAUACCCUUCACUGGGCGUGGCGGGGAAACAGGACAUUUACUUUGAAAAAAUUAGAGUGCUCCAGGCAGGCCUAUGCUCGAAUACAUUAGCAUGGAAUAAUAAAAUAGGACGCGCGGUUCUAUUUUGUUGGUUUAUAGGACCGCCGUAAUGAUUAAUAGGGACAGUCGGGGGCAUCAGUAUUCAAAUGUCAGAGGUGAAAUUCUUGGAUCAUUUGAAGACUAACUACUGCGAAAGCAUUUGCCAAGGAUGUUUUCAUUAAUCAGGAACGAAAGUUAGGGGAUCGAAGACGAUCAGAUACCGUCGUAGUCUUAACCAUAAACUAUGCCGACUAGGGAUCGGACGGUGUUAUUCAUGACCCGUUCGGCACCUUACGAGAAAUCAAAGUGCUUGGGCUCCAGGGGGAGUAUGGUCGCAAGGCUGAAACUUAAAGAAAUUGACGGAAGGGCACCACCAGGGGUGGAGCC